rnacentral:rRNA from 1 species
AGUGAACGCUGGCGGUAGGCCUAACACAUGCGAGUCGAACGGCAGCACAGUAAGAGCUUGCUCUUACGGGUGGCGAGUGGCGGACGGGUGAGGAAUACAUCGGAAUCUACUUUUUCGUGGGGGAUAACGUAGGGAAACUUACGCUAAUACCGCAUACGACCUACGGGUGAAAGCGGGGGAUCUUCGGACCUUGCGCGAUUGAAUGAGCCGAUGUCGGAUUAGCUAGUUGGCGGGGUAAAGGCCACCAAGGCGACGAUCCGUAGCUGGUCUGAGAGGAUGAUCAGCCACACUGGAACUGAGACACGGUCCAGACUCCUACGGGAGGCAGCAGUGGGGAAUAUUGGACAAUGGGCGCAAGCCUGAUCCAGCCAUACCGCGUGGGUGAAGAAGGCCUUCGGGUUGUAAAGCCCUUUUGUUGGGAAAGAAAAGCAGCAGGUUAAUACCCCGCUGUUCUGACGGUACCCAAAGAAUAAGCACCGGCUAACUUCGUG